GACGAACGCUGGCGGCGUGCUUAACACAUGCAAGUCGAGCGGUAAGGCCCUUUCGGGGGUACACGAGCGGCGAACGGGUGAGUAACACGUGGGUGACCUGCCCUUAGCUCUGGGAUAAGCCUGGGAAACUGGGUCUAAUACCGGAUAUGACUCCAUAACGCAUGUUGUGGGGUGGAAAGCCUUGUGCGGCUAGGGAUGGGCCCGCGGCCUAUCAGCUUGUUGGUGGGGUGAUGGCCACCAAGGCGACGACGGGUAGCCGGCCUGAGAGGGCGACCGGCCACACUGGGACUGGGACACGGCCCAGACUCCUACGGGAGGCAGCAGUGGGGAAUCUUGCGCAAUGGGCGAAAGCCUGACGCAGCGACGCCGCGUGGGGAUGAC
rnacentral:rRNA from 1 species